AACUCGGCAGCAGUCAAGAGGCCCAUCAGUAAACAAAAGGAGAAAUCAACUGUGGUCCAUCCAGACAGUGGAGUAUUAUUCAACACUGAAAAGAAAUGAGCUUUCAAGCCAUGAAAAGACAUAGAGGAAAGUUAAAUGCAUGUUACUGAGUGAAAGAAGCCAAUCCGAAAAGGCGACAUACUGUACAAUUCCAACUCUGAGAUUCUGGAAAAGGCAAAACUGAGGAGACAGCAUAAGUUCCCGCUGAGGCUGGCCAUGGCACAGGCUCAGCUGAGGGAGACGGGACUUCAGUCCAGACGAGAGUGACCCGGAGACGACGCAAGCCAUGGUCGGGGCAGGGCACUCACCAAUGAAGGACACGGCCUUGGUGUUGAUGAUGCCGCUGGGCAGCAGGUGGAAGUCGUACUCUUUCCCAUCCACCACCACCGUGUGGCCGGCGUUGUUGCCCCCCUGGAACAGAAACCCGGCUGAGCUGAAGGCACUUGGGUACUGAGGACCCCCCGGACAUGGACUGACCCACAUGGGGCUUCGUCUGUCCCUGCAGGGCACUGCUGUUGGAUUUUGGGGUGUCUGGUUUGGUGGCCAGCUCUGAUGCGUCUGUGCGGGACUGGGAUGUGGGCAUCCUGCACCUUGGAAGGAGGGCAGCAGUUUGGUCAGGGGCCUGGGUCGGGGAGGGUCUGGCCCAGGCUGGUGCCAACACCUCCAGGUGGCUUGGUGCAGGUCUCUGCAGCUGCGGGCCCCGCUCUGGAGCUCGCUCCUCUCAUGCAGGAAUGAGGAGGCCUAACCCUCCCACAGAACAUGAAUUCAGCACCCCCACGGCCAAACCUGCCCUCACCCACUUUAGCAGAAACCCUUCCCUUUGGGCAGGCACCUCCCGUCUAAGAAUGAAAAAGAAAAAGCCA